rnacentral:lncRNA from 1 species
CUACUUUUGAUGUUUGCUUAGAUCAUGAAAUUUUUACCCAAUGGAACACCCUUACACAAGGGAAUUGGCUAGUAACUGAGUACAUUGCUCAAUUUGAGGAAUUUCGAGUGAAAUGUCAUGUUGUUGAGGAUGAGGCCCCGACUUUAAGUAUGUUUAUACAAGGUCUAAGAGAUGAACUUAGGCGUGAGCUUUUCUUUCGUGGCAUCACUACUCUUGAUGAAGCUUACUCUUCAACUCGGGACUACGAGUUACUUAUUAGUACUCCAUAUGAAAAGCGCGACCACCAUCGUUCUCCCAUGUCAUUAGCGCUACCUCAACAUGAGUCUGUCAUAGAGACUUCCCCGUCUAGGGUUCCUCCCAUUUUGAAAAAUAAGUGUAAAGGUCGUGAUAGUCUAAGGCCCCCUUCUCCUUAUAGAAAGCGUAUUGACAACCAUUUUUCCGUCUCAUUGGCUCCACCUCCUCCUAUUAAGUCUCUUCUAGGACUUCUCCCGUCUAAUGUUUCUCAAAUCUUGGAAAAUAAGGGUAAAAUUUUUGAAACUCCAGGGACUUCUUCUCACCUACUAUGCAUUGGCUGUAAGGAUUUUGGUCACAUCUCUUUCAAAUGUCCUAAUCAAGCUUUAGUCGUAGAAACACGAAAGAAUAUAAUAGAAGAGUCGUUAGAAGAUCCAGUGUACGAACCUAAACUUGAAGAUUUUGAUGAUGAUAGUGAGGACACCUCCUUAGGUGGCACCCAAACUCUUCUUGAGACUCUAGAUACUAUAUCCCAUGAUUUCACUAGUCACUUUUGGAGAACCCAGUCCCCUAUGGUUAACACUAAAUCGAAAUUCUCCACUGUAGACCAACCUCAGACUGAUAGUCAAAAUGAUGUCGUUAAACAAAGUCUUAGCAAUUUAUUCAAGUCUCUAGUCCAGAAAAAUCUUGGGAAUUGGAACUCAAUCCCCCCAACUAUUCACAUUGCAUAUAACAAUUCUAUGAAUCGGUUUCUAGGUCUAAAUCCAUUUAAAAUUAUUCAUAGUUAUAUGUCUAGGCGGCCGCUAGAUCUUAUUCCCAUGUCCCUGCAUGCUAGUGUGUCGUUGUCAACUGAAGCAUUUGUAUAUCAUCUUUAUGACUUGCAUAUUGAGAUCAAUAAACAACAAACAACAUGAUGCAAUUAAUGCAUUAUAUAAACUUCAAGAUGAUUCGCAUAAACGAUAUUUUGAAUUUAAUAUUGGGGAUUAUGUUAUAUUGCAAGCUUGUAGUGCUGGUCCUUUAAAAAUUUUAAAGCAUGUUGGUUCAAAUGCACAUGUCAUUGCCCUUUCACCACAUUUUGGCUACCACUCUGCUUUAAAUAUUGAGGACUUCAUUACUUACAAACACCGUGUUACUUCCUUUGAUGAUCUAUUUCUACUUAACUUUAUGGACCCCCAACUUGACUAUGUUGAUAUUUCUACUUCAAUACCAUCUAUCACAGCACACAAAGAUAAAAUUGAUGUUAUUUUAGAUGAACGUGUUGUAUUGACCAACGAUGGCAAGAUUCAGUACUUCCUUGUUUGUUGGGUAGAUCGACGUGCUUCUUAUGCUCCUCAUUAUAUACAAUCAUGUGAAAAUCUUGAAGAUGAGGUGCAUGAGUAUUGGUUAUUUGGAGUCCAAUAUUAGUACUUGGUUAGAAGGAAAGAUCGCCCCCUUGAUCAAAUGAUAUUUUUGGGAAUAAACUACAGUUUUCAAUACUAUCAAUCAUGGAAUUUCGUUACUUGGUUCGUCAGAAAGAUCGUCCCCAUGGCUUGACGCAUUUGGCGUAUCAGAUUGACUGUAACCUAUACUAUCUAUCAACUCGACAGGGUCGAGUUUUUCUCCCACCCUGAGAGAGUUGAUAAAGACAUCUACUUUUUAUUUAUUUUUAGUUCGACUUUAUUUGUGUUUUAGAUUUUAUUUAUGUAAUUGGGCUUGUGUUGGCCCAAGUCCAUUCUACUUAGGGU